GAUGAACGCUGGCGGCGUGCCUAAUACAUGCAAGUCGAGCGAACGGACGAGAAGCUUGCUUCUCUGAUGUUAGCGGCGGACGGGUGAGUAACACGUGGAUAACCUACCUAUAAGACUGGGAUAACUUCGGGAAACCGGGGCUAAUACCGGAUAAUAUUUUGAACCGCAUGGUUCAAAAGUGAAAGACGGUCUUGCUGUCACUUAUAGAUGGAUCCGCGCUGCAUUAGCUAGUUGGUAAGGUAACGGCUUACCAAGGCAACGAUGCAUAGCCGACCUGAGAGGGGGGUCGGCCACACUGGAACUGAGACACGGUCCAGACUCCUACGGGAGGCAGCAGUAGGGAAUCGUCCGCAAUGGGCGAAAGCCUGACGGAGCAACGCCGCGUGAGUGAUGAAGGUCUUCGGAUCGUAAAACUCUGUUAUUAGGGAAGAACAUAUGUGUAAGUAACUGUGCACAUCUUGACGGUACCUAAUCAGAAAGCCACGGCUAACUACGUG
rnacentral:rRNA from 1 species